ACGGCCCAGACUCCUACGGGAGGCAGCAGUGGGGAAUUUUGCGCAAUGGGCGAAAGCCUGACGCAGCAACGCCGCGUGGGUGAUGAAGGUCUUCGGACUGUAAAACCCUGUCGUCAGGGACGAAGGUGGCAGUGUUAAUAGCGCUGUUACUUGACGGUACCUGGAGAGGAAGCCCCGGCUAACUCUGUGCCAGCAGCCGCGGUAAUACAGAGGGGGCAAGCGUUAUUCGGAAUUAUUGGGCGUAAAGGGCGCGUAGGCGGUUUUUUAAGUCAGAUGUGUAAUCCCCGAGCUUAACUUGGGAACUGCAUCUGAGACUGGAAGGCUAGAGUACUGGAGAGGGUGGUGGAAUUCCUCGUGUAGCGGUGAAAUGCGUAGAGAUGAGGAGGAACACCAGUGGCGAAGGCGGCCACCUGGACAGUAACUGACGCUGAGGCGCGAAAGUGUGGGUAGCAAACAGGAUUAGAUACCCUGGUAGUCCACGCUGUAAACGAUGAACACUUGGUGUGGAGGGAGUUGACCCCUUCCGUGCCGGAGCUAACGCGUUAAGUGUUCCGCCUGGGGAGUACGGUCGCAAGGCUGAA
rnacentral:rRNA from 1 species